rnacentral:rRNA from 2 species
GAGAGUUUGAUCCUGGCUCAGGACGAACGCUGGCGGCGUGCCUAAUACAUGCAAGUCGAGCGGACAGAUGGGAGCUUGCUCCCUGAUGUUAGCGGCGGACGGGUGAGUAACACGUGGGUAACCUGCCUGUAAGACUGGGAUAACUCCGGGAAACCGGGGCUAAUACCGGAUGGUUGUUUGAACCGCAUGGUUCAAACAUAAAAGGUGGCUUCGGCUACCACUUACAGAUGGACCCGCGGCGCAUUAGCUAGUUGGUGAGGUAACGGCUCACCAAGGCAACGAUGCGUAGCCGACCUGAGAGGGUGAUCGGCCACACUGGGACUGAGACACGGCCCAGACUCCUACGGGAGGCAGCAGUAGGGAAUCUUCCGCAAUGGACGAAAGUCUGACGGAGCAACGSCGCGUGAGUGAUGAAGGUUUUCGGAUCGUAAAGCUCUGUUGUUAGGGAAGAACAARUAAMMRUUCGAAUAGGGCGGUACCUUGACGGUACCUAACCAGAAAGCCACGGCUAACUACGUGCCAGCAGCCGCGGUAAUACGUAGGUGGCAAGCGUUGUCCGGAAUUAUUGGGCGUAAAGGGCUCGCAGGCGGUUUCUUAAGUCUGAUGUGAAAGCCCCCGGCUCAACCGGGGGAGGGUCAUUGGAAACUGGGGAACUUGAGUGCAGAAGAGGAGAGUGGAAUUCCACGUGUAGCGGUGAAAUGCGUAGAGAUGUGGAGGAACACCAGUGGCGAAGGCGACUCUCUGGUCUGUAACUGACGCUGAGGAGCGAAAGCGUGGGGAGCGAACAGGAUUAGAUACCCUGGUAGUCCACGCCGUAAACGAUGAGUGCUAAGUGUUAGGGGGUUUCCGCCCCUUAGUGCUGCAGCUAACGCAUUAAGCACUCCGCCUGGGGAGUACGGUCGCAAGACUGUMMACUCAAAGGAAUUGACGGGGGCCCGCACAAGCGGUGGAGCRUGUGGGUUUAAUUCGAAGCAACGCGAAGAACCUUACCAGGUCUUGACAUCCUCUGACAAUCCUAGAGAUAGGACGUCCCCUUCGGGGGCAGAGUGACAGGUGGUGCAUGGUUGUCGUCAGCUCGUGUCGUGAGAUGUUGGGUUAAGUCCCGCAACGAGCGCAACCCUUGAUCUUAGUUGCCAGCAUUCAGUUGGGCACUCUAAGGUGACUGCCGGUGACAAACCGGAGGAAGGUGGGGAUGACGUCAAAUCAUCAUGCCCCUUAUGACCUGGGCUACACACGUGCUACAAUGGACAGAACAAAGGGCAGCGAAACCGCGAGGUUAAGCCAAUCCCACAAAUCUGUUCUCAGUUCGAGAUGCGCAGUCUGCAACUCGACUGCGUGAAGCUGGAAUCGCUAG